UACGUAGGGUGCAAGCGUUGUCCGGAAUUAUUGGGCGUAAAGAGCGCGUAGGCGGGCUGCCGCGUCCGGGGUGAAAUCCCACGGCUCAACCGUGGAACGGCCCCGGGUACGGGCGGCCUCGAGGGGGGUAGGGGCGUGCGGAACUGUGGGUGGAGCGGUGAAAUGCGUUGAUAUCCACAGGAACUCCGGUGGCGAAGGCGGCACGCUGGACCCCUUCUGACGCUGAGGCGCGAAAGCCAGGGGAGCGAACGGG
rnacentral:rRNA from 1 species